AUUGAACGCUGGCGGCAUGCUUUACACAUGCAAGUCGAACGGCAGCGCGGGCUUCGGCCUGGCGGCGAGUGGCGAACGGGUGAGUAAUGCAUCGGAACGUGCCCAGUAGUUGGGGAUAGCCCGGCGAAAGCCGGAUUAAUACCGCAUACGACCUGAGGGUGAAAGCGGGGGACCGAAAGGCCUCGCGCUAUUGGAGCUGCCGAUGUCGGAUUAGCUAGUUGGUGGGGUAAAGGCUUACCAAGGCGACGAUCCGUAGCUGGUCUGAGAGGACGACCAGCCACACUGGGACUGAGACACGGCCCAGACUCCUACGGGAGGCAGCAGUGGGGAAUUUUGGACAAUGGGGGCAACCCUGAUCCAGCCAUGCCGCGUGCGGGAAGAAGGCCUUCGGGUUGUAAAACGCUUUUGUUCGGGAAGAAAUACUCUGGGCUAAUACCCCGGGGGGAUGACGGUACCGGAAGAAUAAGCACCGGCUAACUACGUG
rnacentral:rRNA from 1 species